CGCACAUGUGUGAUGACACCUCGGUAAUGCUGCAGACUGCCGAGUGCGCAGUGGGGAAGCCAACCUUGGAGAGCUGAGCGUGCG
ensembl:snoRNA SNORD39 Small nucleolar RNA SNORD55/SNORD39